UUCUGGGAGGUUUGACAGAUUGAGAGCUCUUUCUUGAUUCGGUGAAUGGUGGUACAUGUCCGUUCUUAGUUGGUGGAGAACGAGACUCUAGCCUAUUAAAUAGGUGCGUGGUCCUCUGCACCUCGCACCCUUCUUAGAGGGACAAGCGGCUCCUAGCCGUACGAAACAGAGCAAUAGCAUGUCUGUGAUGCCCUUAGAU
rnacentral:rRNA from 1 species